GGGAGCAGUCGCUGAAGAGCUCUGGAUAGACCACACGAGGUUCUGCAGGUGUCCCCACCCUUCUCUCCUCACACUGAUGCUUUAGAAGUGGACCCUGACGGGAGGGAGAAAUAAUCUACAAAGUCAGCAGAUGAAAAAGGCCACACGACAGUGAUUCCAGGGCUUGUUGAGGUUAAAGGCUGGUGAGUGGUGACCUGAGCGAGAGGCCAGUGUGACAUCUGACCUCUAGCUGGGUGUGCGGCUGACCCUGGAGGAUACUGCUCCACAAUGGGAGGCACGUGCCUCGUCCUUGUCACCAUGGUAACACAAGACCUUUUAGAAUCA